GAUGAACGCUGGCGGCGUGCCUAAUACAUGCAAGUCGAGCGAACAGACGAGGAGCUUGUUCCUCUGUCGUUAGCGGCGGACGGGUGAGUAACAUGUGGAUCAUCUACCUAUAAUACUGGUAUAACUUCGGGACACCGGAUAUUAUCCCAGAUGAUAUCUUGAACCGUAUGGUUCAAUAGUAAAAGACGGUUUUUGUGUCUCUUAUCGAUGCAUCCGCGCUGCUUUAGAUAGUUGUUAAGUUAACGGCUUAUCAAGGGUACGAUGCGUGGCCGAACUGAGGGACGGAUCGGCCACACGGGAACUGAGACGCGGACCAGACGCCUGCGAGAGGCAGCAGUAGGGAAUCGGCCGCAAUGGGCGAAAGCCUGACAGAGCAACGCCGCGUGAGUGAUGAAGAUGUUCGGUUCGGAAAGCUCUGUUAUUAGGUAAGAACAAAUGUGUAAGUAACUAUGCACGGCUUGACGGUACCGAAUCAGAAAGCCACGGCUAACUACGUG
rnacentral:rRNA from 1 species